UUGCGAUAUCCGGUUGUUUUGAUUACUGCCGAGCGAUUAAAUGAUGCUUUUCCGUGUUUAGAACAUGGAGGUCUUCAAGCAGGGGGAGCUGACAACCAGUGAUUUUCUCCACAGUCUGCUUAGAGUGUGACGUUGCAAAGCCAAACCCGACAGAGAUGGAGGAUGUAAUAAUUGAUUCUCUUAUGGCUCUGUAUAACUUAACCAUCAAUCUUAAAUUUUUCGUCUGCCUUCUUAGUUAUGCAAGUGGUGUUCAUGUCCCAUUUGAGGUCUUGUUGGAUGAUGGUCCUGAGAAAUUUGAAGGUCUCACAUCUGCUGACGGUAGUGUCCUGGAUUACCAGAAGAGAUGGCGGUAGUUGUGGUCAUGGUGGACAUUUGUGCGUUCAUCUUCUAAUUUGUUGAUUCCACACUAUGACACCAGUUGACUUACUUGCUUUCGGUAGCUGGACUCUUUGCCAUUUUUGAUGAGUUCAGUCAAGGUAGUUUUGUCUGAAAUCUUAAAGAGUUUUACAGAGUUAGUUUGUGAAGUGCCGUCAUUAAGGUGGGAUCGGAAAUGUGGCUGCCCAUCUUCUCGACUUGUUUCCUGCCGGUCAGCAAGUCCUGGAUCCAGUAGCAGAGAGAUGGCUGGACAUUGUAUUAAAGCAGAGCUGAAAUCUACAGUGUUGAAAACGUAUGAUGUAGGGUCAGAUUGAUGUCAACAGAUCUGGGGCCUGUACUACCAAGCGGGGUUACUGGCUUAUUGGGAUAACUUGUCGGAUUUAAAGUAGACUUCAUAUUCGUUCACUUACAUUUUGGCCAGACUACCUUAAAUCCGACGAGUUACCCCGAUAAGCCAGUAACCCCACUUCGUAGUACAGGCCACUCUUUGAUCUGUAAGCACACUGUGGAGGGCCCUGAAGAGCUUCGGUUGUGGUUUUCAGAAAUUAUUGGAUAAUUUUCUUAAAACACUUCAUAGCUACAGAGGUCAGUGCUAUCGGUCUGUAGUCAUUCAGGCAGGAUUUUUUUGUUUUGUUUUUUAGGGUUUGAAACAAUGGUUUAUGAUUUCAAAUAGGCAAUGUGGGAGGGGGAGACAGACAAGGGGCCUGUAUCAUCAAUAUUAACCCACUGUUCUGUGUAUAAUGUCCAAAUAAAAUGAAAUGUAAAAUUAACCUAAAA